CGCAUCUGUGCAUGCAGCAUAUCAAUAAGCGGAGGAAAAGAAACUAACAAGGAUUCCCCUAGUAACGGCGAGUGAAGCGGGAAGAGCUCAAAUUUGAAAUCUUAAAGGGUUUCCCUUUACGAAUUGUAGUUUAAAGAAGUGUUUUCUGUUGAGGUUUUGGUAAAAGUUCUUUGGAAUAGGACAUCAUAGAGGGUGAGAAUCCCGUAUUUGACCUUUACUUUCAACUUUGUGAUACACUUUCAAAGAGUCGGAUUGUUUGGGAAUGCAGUCCAAAAUGGGUGGUAAAUUUCAUCUAAAGCUAAAUAUUGGCGAGAGACCGAUAGCGAACAAGUACCGUGAGGGAAAGAUGAAAAGGAACUUUGAAAAGAGAGUUAAACAGUACGUGAAAUUGUCAAAAGGGAAGCGUUUGACACCAGUGUUGUUUUUCUGAAAAUCAAUUAAAGAACUGUUUAUGCUAAGUUGUUUAGACUUUAUCAGCUAACUGUUUAGUUUUGAGCUUUUCUUUAAUGCACUUUUCAGUUAACAAGUCAACAUCAAUUUCUUUUGCUGUAAAAAAGCUUGAGGAAGGUGGCUUGAGAUUCGUCUUAAGUGUUUAUAGCCUCUUGCCUAUGCAGUCGGAGAGAUUGAGGUCUGCAGCGUAGAUCCUUCGGGGCUAAAUGCAUUUGUGCUAAGUUAUAGGCAUUUUAUAGACAACUUGUUGACUAUGAUUUGUCUUGUAGCUUACUCGCUUAUGUUAUUUUACCUACGCUUAGGAUGUUGACGAGACUGUCGAUCUCAUCUAUACAUGACUCUGUGCAUAUCAAUAAGCGGAGGAAAAGUACCUACGCUUAGGAUGUUGAUGAGACUGUCGAUCUCAUCUAUACAUGACUCUGUGCAUAUCAAUAAGCGGAGGAAAAGGUACCUACGCUUAGGAUGUUGACGAGACUGUCGAUCUCAUCUAUACAUGACUCUGUGCAUGCAGCAUAUCAAUAAGCGGAGGAAAAGGCGGCGGAGAGUAUUGGUGUGGGCGUACCUACGCUUAGGAUGUUGACGAGACUGUCGAUCUC
rnacentral:rRNA from 1 species